UCCUACGGGAGGCAGAAGUGGGGAAUAUUGCACAAUGGGCGAAAGCCUGAUGCAGCGACGCCGCGUGAGGGAUGACGGCCUUCGGGUUGUAAACCUCCUUCAGCAGGGAAGAAGCGAAAGUGACGGUACCUGCAGAAGAAGCGCCGGCUAACUACGUGCCAGCAGCCGCGGUAAUACGUAGGGCGCAAGCGUUGUCCGGAAUUAUUGGGCGUAAAGAGCUCGUA
rnacentral:rRNA from 1 species